UGCCUCUGUGCUUGAUAGAGAGGAAUCUGGUCAGUGGUACCCAUCUCCUAGCCAGGGACAAAGCAAUUUCUUUCUUUUUCCAGAGUGGCUUUUGGUCUGUGCCCUUACCUGGUUCAUGUGCUAUGAGUAGUA
rnacentral:snoRNA from 10 species